AGUGAACGCUGGCGGUAGGCCUAACACAUGCAAGUCGAACGGCAGCACAGUAAGAGCUUGCUCUUACGGGUGGCGAGUGGCGGACGGGUGAGGAAUAUAUCGGAAUCUUCUUUUUCGUGGGGGAUAACGUAGGGAAACUUACGCUAAUACCGCAUACGAUCUUCGGGUGAAAGCAGGGGAUCUUUUGACCUUGCGCGAUUGAAUGAGCCGAUGUCGGAUUAGCUAGUUGGCGGGGUAAAGGCCCACCAAGGCGACGAUCCGUAGCCGGUCUGAGAGGAUGAUCAGCCACACUGGAACUGAGACACGGUCCAGACUCCUACGGGAGGCAGCAGUGGGGAAUAUUGGACAAUGGGCGCAAGCCUGAUCCAGCCAUACCGCGUGGGUGAAGAAGGCCUUCGGGUUGUAAAGCCCUUUUGUUGGGAAAGAAAAGCAGCAGGUUAAUACCCCGCUGUUCUGACGGUACCCAAAGAAUAAGCACCGGCUAACUUCGUG
rnacentral:rRNA from 1 species